CGGUGUCGUGUCCGCCGGCUGAGCAGCAAGCCGGAGCUGCAAGUCUCUAAACAUGGUGGUGCUACUUUGUGGAUUGUGAUUAAGAAUGAUGACCCUGGUUAAUUAUAGGAUUUACCAUGAGAGCAUGAGAUCUUUGCACCUGUUUUUUGGUGCGUUUGUGCUCGUCGGCGGGACGGUGCAAGGCGCAACUCCGACGUGGUUCCUUGCCGGUUGAACGGCGUUCACGCGCAACCCCGGCGUGCACUGAGUACUGCCUCGGCUACAACCUCCCUCAGUGAGCUCCAUCUUUCUCCUCCUCCUCUGCUUCGGCUACUAUAUGGGACAUGGCCAUGGCUAUAUUGAUCCAUCCAUCCAUCCAUAAGAAUAGAAGCUCCUCAGGACGCACCACAGCGAUUUGGGAUUCCUGGCCGUCGGAUCGGGUGGCUUGAUCGGGUCUGGGCCGUCGGAUCGACCCCUGUAACGACCUCGUCCAUCGGAUAAAAAGAUUUAUUGCUGGAUUGAAUAGUUACUCCCGUUUCGUGCCACCGUUCGUA